CCACCACAUUCUUAAGGAAUCAAAGAGUAUGUGCUACCUGAGAGGCAGGUUUUUUGCUAACACCACAAGGGUCUCUAUGAGUUUGAUAGGAAUCCUUGCAACAAGU
rnacentral:snoRNA from 1 species